AACUCUCGGCAAUGGAUAUCUUAGCUCUCACAUUGAUGACGAACUUAGCGAAAUGCGAUACUUGGUGUGAAUUACAGAAUCACGUGAACCAUCGAGUCUUUGAAUGCAAGUUGUGCUCGAAGCCAUUCGGCCCAGGGCAUGUUUUCUUGGGCCUCA